rnacentral:rRNA from 1 species
CCUACGGGAGGCAGCAGUGAGGAAUAUUGGUCAAUGGCCGGAAGGCUGAACCAGCCAAGCCGCGUGAGGGAAGAAGGCCCCAUGGGUUGUAAACCUCUUUUGUCAAGGAACAAAACCCGGCACGUGUGCCUGACAGCGGGUAACCGAAGAAAAAGCAUCGGCUAACUCCGUGCCAGCAGCCGCGGUAAUACGGAGGAUGCGAGCGUUAUCCGGAUUUAUUGGGGUUAAAGGGUGCGUAGGCGGUCUGUUAAGUCAGCGGUAAAAGUUCGGGGCUCAACCCCGUCGAGCCGUUGAAACUGGCUGUCUUGAGUGGGCGAGAGGUAAGCGGAAUGCGCGGUGUAGCGGUGAAAUGCUUAGAUAUCGCGCAGAACUCCGAUUGCGAAGGCAGCGUACCGGCGCCGGACUGACGCUGAGGCACGAAAGCGCGGGUAUCGAACAGGAUUAGAUACCCGAGUAGUC